UCCCUGGUGGCUCAGAUGGUAAAGCGUCUGCCUGCUGUGUGGGAGACCCGGGUUCAAUCCCUGGGUUGGGAA
rnacentral:tRNA from 1 species